rnacentral:tRNA from 1 species
GACUCAGUGGCCCAGUGGUAAAGCGUUCUCUGCGGAGCCAGAGGGUCCUGGGUUCGAUCCCCUAUGUGGUCA